AGACUGUGCUUCCCUAUUAUCAUAAAAGUAUUAUGUGCAUGUGGCCGUCAUGGUACAAAACACAAUAUAGCAUUUUCCAAGUGUAUCGUGACUCAGUAAGACUGACUAAAUUAAAACCAUUCCAAUGAGUGCAGACAGUUGCCCGAUCUAUGUGUGGAUGUCAACUACCUAAAAUCUAAAAACAAGUUGAGCAACCAGUCUUUUAUUUUCUUGAUGAUCAUUAUGAAGCGUCCAGUCAGGUGUCAGUGUUUCAGAAGACAUGAAAUGAGUUUAAAAUAGUGACGGGGAAUGUCAACACA